AGAUCUUCUCAAGAUAGCCAGAGGAAAGUCACUGGAUUUAAACGGACAUUAGAGAUCAUUUAAUGAAGAAAAAUAUUACUGACAGUAGCAAUCAAACCUUUCUUACCAGGAACUUUGAUUUGGUUUUGUGCCCCCAAAAUCCUGUUAUUUUUGUGAGAUAAGAGAUGAAUGAAAAAAAUUACAUCUUUAGAAAAAGAGUUAUUAGAAAAAAGCCUUGGCAGCGUCGGGGGGAAGUGACAGCACAGAAGAGACCAGAGAAUAGCUUCCUGGAGGAGACCCUGCACUUUAACCAUGCUGUCUGGAUGGGUACAGUGCCCUCUUCUGCAAAGAGUUCACUUCUAUGCUUUUUCUGUGGUUCCAUUUCAUAGAAAGAUUUGGGGCGAUGUUUCUUUUCCCUUAACUUUUUAUUUUAAAAACUUGCAAACACAGAAAAGUUGAUAAAAUCAUACAGUGAACAUCUGUAUUCUAUUCAACUGGAUUCACUAGUUCACAUUUUGUCAUAUUUGUGUUCUCUUUUCCCCAUAUGGAAGAUUGUAUAUUUGCCCUUUUUCCCCCUGAAUCAUUUCAAAGUAAGUUGCCAGUAUCAUAGCAUUUCACUGUUAAGUACUUUUGCAGAUAUCUCCUAAGAACCAGGAUAUUCUCCUAUAUAAUCACAAUACCAUUAAUCCACCCAAAACAUUUAACAUCAGUACACUAAUGAUACCUACUGUAUAGAUUAUAAUCAGCUUCCUUGCAGUAAUCUGUUUAGAAGACUUGCAUCCUGUCACUGUCCACUGAUUAAAUUUUGAACUCUUAACUUGAAA
ensembl:lncRNA MPHOSPH10P1 MPHOSPH10 pseudogene 1